CACGUAGGGGGCAAGCGUUGUCCGGAUUUAUUGGGCGUAAAGAGCUCGUAGGCGGUUCGGUAAGUCGGGUGUGAAACCUCCAGGCUCAACCUGGAGACGCCACCCGAUACUGCUGUGACUAGAGUCCGGUAGGGGAGCGUGGAAUUCCUGGUGUAGCGGUGAAAUGCGCAGAUAUCAGGAGGAACACCGAUGGCGAAGGCGGGUUGCUGGGCCGACACUGACGCUGAGGCGCGAAAGCCAGGGGAGCAAACGGG
rnacentral:rRNA from 1 species